rnacentral:rRNA from 1 species
UAAUACAGAGGUCUCAAGCGUUGUUCGGAUUUAUUGGGCGUAAAGGGUGCGUAGGCGGCGGAGCAAGUGAGGUGUGAAAUCCCGGAGCUCAACUCCGGAACUGCACUUUAUACUACUUUGCUUGAGUCUUGGAGAGGAGACUGGAAUUUACGGUGUAGCAGUGAAAUGCGUAGAUAUCGUAAGGAAGACCAGUGGCGAAGGCGAGUCUCUGGACAAAGACUGACGCUGAGGCACGAAGGCCAGGGGAGCAAACGGGAUUAGAUACCCCGGUAGUCCUGGCAGUAAACGGUGCGCGUUUGGUGUGGGAGGAUUCGACCCCUUCCGUGCCGCAGCUAACGCGUUAAACGCGCCGCCUGGGGAGUACGAUCGCAAGAUUA